ensembl:lncRNA
AUUAUAAACAAUACAAUCCGUAGUGUGAAAGUGAGAGUCGCUCCGUUGUGUCCGACUCUUUGUGACCCCGUGGACUACACAGUACAUGGGAUUCUCUAGGCCAGAAUACUGGAGUGGGUAGUCUUUCCCUUCUCCCGGGGAUCUUCCCAACCCAGGGAUUGAACCCAGGUCUCCCGCAUUGAAGGAGGAUUCUUUACCAGCUGAGCCACAAGAGAAGCCCCAAUCGGUAGUGUAUAUCUAGCCAAAACCAAAUUUUUAGGUUUUUCUUCACUUUUUGCUAGGUAUUCCAAGACUUGUAAUUAUUGCCAACAGUUUUUGUACUUGGUGUUGAUCUUCCUCCUCCUGGCAGGCAAGAACCUAAUGCAUACUGGUGACCUGGGUCCCAGUUGUCCCUCAGUCAGGCCACAUUACUCUUUGCUUGCUUCCCUCUGAGGCCAUUUAUGGCCCUCUUCCCUGGAGCCCUGGCACUUGCGGAUAAUGUCGCUGAUGGGAGCCACCUGAAAUCUCGCGAGGGUGGGCGAGACCCCCUUCCCUCCUAAUGACGAGAGCCAGAUGGGCCAGAAAGGUGAGGAGUAGUGAGCAUGCGCUCUCCAACCAAAGAAAGACGCUGGAGAGGAAGGAGGGCCUGGCAGAGGACGAGGGGCCCGAGAGCAGGCGCCGUGGUCACCAGGUGAUCUGGACGGAGAGCAGAUAAGAUAGCAGUCCUGGAGGAAGAAAGCCCCCCCUCUCCCCUUUUACCUCGUGACUCGAGUGAGCCCGCAGCACCCCAAGGAACAGAUUGCAACUUCCAAGAGUUGUGUGUAUAGACAGGGGAGAGAUGGUAGGACUCACCUUCCUCCUCACACGGCUUGGUGCAGCACAAGUCUCCAACCUGGGUUCAAGUCCUGGUCCCCUUCCUGGGCAACCUUGACGUGGGUAUCCUGUCCUUUACAUCGCGGCCAGGUUGGGCUGGAAAAAGCCCCGGGAUUCCCCCCAGGGCUGAACUGGCUGGUCCUCAAACAAAAUGGCCACCGCGCUUCCCCCUCCUCGGCCGGGAGGGCAUCUCUGCCAGGAGGUGGCACCACGAGCUCAUGUUUCGGGCAGAGACGUGUCUGACCAUUUGGUAAUCGUCCCUCAGCAUUGCAAGGAGCCCGAAAACUCGCCUAUUUAAUAGCUGCCUCUACACAGAUUUUUAAUCACGGUACUGAUGGUGUGAUUGGAUUUUCCACUCUUCUGCUUGCUUCCAGAAGAUCAAAAUCAUCUUCCUGCCAACUGUCCUCAGUAUUUACGAAAGGGGUAAAGAGAGAGAAUGUGGCAAGGCCAGCUUCCCUGCUGUGGUCUUUCCCUGUGCUCAGAAGCACAACUACAGACUCCAGGGAGCAUGUACUGUGGAAUCACACCUAUAAUAAGCCAUUUGCAUGCUAUUCAGG